AAAGCACCCCGGAAGGGGAGUGAAAUAGAACCUGAAACCGUGUGCUUACAAGUAGUCAGAGCCCGUUAAUGGGUGAUGGCGUGCCUUUUGUAGAAUGAACCGGCGAGUUACGAUUUGAUGCAAGGUUAAGCAGUAAAUGUGGAGCCGUAGCGAAAGCGAGUCUGAAUAGGGCGUUUAGUAUUUGGUCGUAGACCCGAAACCAGGUGAUCUACCCUUGGUCAGGUUGAAGUUCAGGUAACACUGAAUGGAGGACCGAACCGACUUACGUUGAAAAGUGAGCGGAUGAACUGAGGGUAGCGGAGAAAUUCCAAUCGAACCUGGAGAUAGCUGGUUCUCUCCGAAAUAGCUUUAGGGCUAGCCUCAAGUGAUGAUUAUUGGAGGUAGAGCACUGUUUGGACGAGGGGCCCCUCUCGGGUUACCGAAUUCAGACAAACUCCGAAUGCCAAUUAAUUUAACUUGGGAGUCAGAACAUGGGUGAUAAGGUCCGUGUUCGAAAGGGAAACAGCCCAGACCACCAGCUAAGGUCCCAAAAUAUAUGUUAAGUGGAAAAGGAUGUGGCGUUGCCCAGACAACUAGGAUGUUGGCUUAGAAGCAGCCAUCAUUUAAAGAGUGCGUAAUAGCUCACUAGUCGAGUGACACUGCGCCGAAAAUGUACCGGGGCUAAACAUAUUACCGAAGCUGUGGAUUGUCCUUUGGACAAUGGUAGGAGAGCGUUCUAAGGGCGUUGAAGCAUGAUCGUAAGGACAUGUGGAGCGCUUAGAAGUGAGAAUGCCGGUGUGAGUAGCGAAAGACGGGUGAGAAUCCCGUCCACCGAUUGACUAAGGUUUCCAGAGGAAGGCUCGUCCGCUCUGGGUUAGUCGGGUCCUAAGCUGAGGCCGACAGGCGUAGGCGAUGGAUAACAGGUUGAUAUUCCUGUACCACCUAUAAUCGUUUUAAUCGAUGGGGGGACGCAGUAGGAUAGGCGAAGCGUGCGAUUGGAUUGCACGUCUAAGCAGUAAGGCUGAGUAUUAGGCAAAUCCGGUACUCGUUAAGGCUGAGC
rnacentral:rRNA from 1 species